GAGAGAAAGAGAGGGAGGGCGAGAGAAAAGGGGGAGAGAACAAAACACAAAAAACACGCGAACAUACCCCAGAA